GACGAACGCUGGCGGCGUGCUUAACACAUGCAAGUCGAACGGAAAGGCCCUGCUUUUGUGGGGUGCUCGAGUGGCGAACGGGUGAGUAACACGUGAGUAACCUGCCCUUGACUUUGGGAUAACUUCAGGAAACUGGGGCUAAUACCGGAUAGGAGCUCCUGCUGCAUGGGGGGGGUUGGUAAGUUUCGGCGGUUGGGGAUGGACUCGCGGCUUAUCAGCUUGUUGGUGGGGUAGUGGCUGACCAAGGCUUUGACGGGUAGCCGGCCUGAGAGGGUGACAGGCCACCUUGGGCCUGAGAUACGGACCAGACUCCUACGGGAGGCAGCAGUGGGGAAUAUUGCGCAAUGGGCGGACGCCUGAUGCAGCAACGCCGCGUGCGGGAUGCCGGCCUUCGGGUUGUAAACCGAUUUCGCCUGUGACGAAGCGUGCGUGACGGUAAUGGGUAAAGAAGCACCGGCUAACUACGUG
rnacentral:rRNA from 1 species